rnacentral:rRNA from 1 species
UAGGGAAUCUUCCGCAAUGGACGAAAGUCUGACGGAGCAACGCCGCGUGAACGAUGAAGGCCUUCGGGUCGUAAAGUUCUGUUGUUAGGGAAGAACAAGUACCAGAGUAACUGCUGGUACCUUGACGGUACCUAACCAGAAAGCCACGGCUAACUACGUGCCAGCAGCCGCGGUAAUACGUAGGUGGCAAGCGUUGUCCGGAAUUAUUGGGCGUAAAGCGCGCGCAGGUGGUUUCUUAAGUCUGAUGUGAAAGCCCACGGCUCAACCGUGGAGGGUCAUUGGAAACUGGGGAACUUGAGUGCAGAAGAGGAAAGUGGAAUUCCAAGUGUAGCGGUGAAAUGCGUAGAGAUUUGGAGGAACACCAGUGGCGAAGGCGACUUUCUGGUCUGUAACUGACACUGAGGCGCGAAAGCGUGGGGAGCGAACAGGAUUAGAUACCCUGGUAGUCCACGCCGUAAACGAUGAGUGCUAAGUGUUAGAGGGUUUCGCCCUUUAGUGCUGCAGCUAACG